GAGCACGUAGGUGGGUUUGUAAGUCAGAUGUGAAAGCCUUCUGUUCAACGGAAGAAUUGCAUCUGAAACUGCGAGUCUUGAGUGUAGGAGGGGAGAAUGGAACUUCUGGUGGAGCGGUGAAAUGCGUAGAUAUCAGAAGGAACGCCGGCGGCGAAAGCGAUUCUCUGGCCUAUUACUGACACUCAGUGUGCGAAAGCUAGGGGAGCAAACGGGAUUAGAUACCCCGGUAGUACGCCU
rnacentral:rRNA from 1 species